rnacentral:rRNA from 1 species
UCCGCAUUGUAAUUUGUAGAGGAUGCUUUGGGUGAAACGCCAGUCUAAGUUCCUUGGAACAGGACGUCAUAGAGGGUGAGAAUCCCGUAUGUGACUGGAAAUGUUAACCUAUGUAAAGCUCCUUCGACGAGUCGAGUUGUUUGGGAAUGCAGCUCUAAAUGGGAGGUAAAUUUCUUCUAAAGCUAAAUAUUGGCGAGAGACCGAUAGCGCACAAGUAGAGUGAUCGAAAGAUGAAAAGCACUUUGGAAAGAGAGUUAAAAAGCACGUGAAAUUGUUGAAAGGGAAGCGCUUGCAAUCAGACUUGUUUAAACUGUUCGGCCGGUCUUCUGACCGGUUUACUCAGUUUGGACAGGCCAGCAUCAGUUUCGGCGGCCGGAUAAAGGCUCUGGGAAUGUGGCCUUCACUUCGGUGAAGGUGUUAUAGCCCAGGGUGUAAUACGGCCAGCCGGGACUGAGGUCCGCGCUUCGGCUAGGAUGCUGGCGUAAUGGUUGUAAGCGACCCGUCUU